rnacentral:rRNA from 1 species
AUGCCGCGUGCAGGAUGACAGCCCUAUGGGUCGUAAACUGCUUUUAUAUGGGAAGAAACCCCUUCACGUGUGAAGGGCUGACGGUACCAUAUGAAUAAGCACCGGCUAACUCCGUGCCAGCAGCCGCGGUAAUACGGAGGGUGCAAGCGUUAUCCGGAUUUAUUGGGUUUAAAGGGUCCGUAGGCGGAUCAUUAAGUCAGUGGUGAAAUCCGACAGCUCAACUGUCGAACUGCCAUUGAUACUGAUGAUCUUGAGUACGGUUGAAGUAGGCGGAAUAUGACAUGUAGCGGUGAAAUGCUUAGAUAUGUCAUAGAACACCGAUUGCGAAGGCAGCCUACUAAGCCGUUACUGACGCUGAGGGACGAAAGUGUGGGGAGCGAACAGGAUUAGAUACCCUGGUAGUCCACACCGUAAACGAUGAUUACUCGGUAUUGGCUUUAUUGUCAGUGCCCAAGCGAAAGUGAUAAGUAAUCCACCUGGGGAGUACGGUCGCAAGAUUGAAACUCAAAGGAAUUGACGGGGGCCCGCACAAGCGGUGGAGCAUGUGGUUUAAUUCGAUGAUACGCGAGGAACCUUACCAGGGCUUAAAUGUAAGUUGCAUUAGUUAGAGAUAGCUAUUUCUUCGGACCACUUACAAGGUGCUGCAUGGUUGUCGUCAGCUCGUGCCGUGAGGUGUCAGGUUAAGUCCUAUAACGAGCGCAACCCCUGUCGUUAGUUGCCAGCAAGUUAAGUUGGGCACUCUAGCGAGACUGCCAGUGCAAACUGUGAGGAAGGUGGGGAUGACGUCAAAUCAUCACGGCCCUUACGUCCUGGGCCACACACGUGCUACAAUGGUAGGUACAGAGAGCAGCCACUGCGCGAGCAGGAGCGAAUCUACAAAACCUAUCUCAGUUCGGAUCGGAGUCUGCAACUCGACUCCGUGAAGUUGGAAUCGCUAGUAAUCGGAUAUCAGCCAUGAUCCGGUGAAUACGUUCCCGGGCCUUGUACACACCGCCCGUCAAGCCAUGGAAGCUGGGGGUACCUGAAGUCGGUCACCGCAAGGAGCCGCCUAGGGUAAAACUGGUAACUAGGGCUAAGUCGUAACAAGGUAGCCGUACCGGAAGGUGCGGCUG